UACAGAGGGUGCGAGCGUUAAUCGGAAUUACUGGGCGUAAAGCGCACGUAGGUGGCGACGUAAGUCGGGUGUGAAAGCCCCGGGCUCAACCUGGGAAUUGCAUUCGAGACUGCAUUGCUGGAGUACGGAAGAGGAGGGCGGAAUUCCCGGUGUAGCGGUGAAAUGCGUAGAGAUCGGGAGGAACAUCAGUGGCGAAGGCGGCCCUCUGGUCCAGUACUGACAAUCAAGUGCGAAAGAGUGGGGAGCAAACAGG
rnacentral:rRNA from 1 species